rnacentral:tRNA from 1 species
AUUUAAAUAGUUUAUUAUUAAAAUAUUGAAUUGUGAUUUCAAAGAAGUAUAUUUACUUUAAAUU